GAAUCAGUCUGUCUAGCUGGGUCCCUAGGACCACACGGGUUGGGACUCAGAUCAGUGUCUUGCUUAGCCAUCCUCAGGGAAGCUGCUUCUUGCGGUAGAAGGGAACUACUCAGGGGACCCACAGCUGAGCAGUGACUCUGGAACACUCCAUCCUAAAUGGUGGCGUCUUCAUCGACAUCUUCAGAGACAACAGGAACCACGCACAUCAGAGACGGGCAGCACAGGCCCAAGCAAGAUGGGGUCUCAGCACCGAGGAGGAACUGAACACAGCCUCCCUGCCCACCCAAACACAGGCUUUCCAGCUGAUCCACACUCCCAUGUGAAGGACGUGUUUAUUGAUGUUGGAUAUCCUAUCGUGGCUAUGGAACCCAGCCUGGUCAGUGUGCCCUAAAUCAGGUUAUCACCUUCUGCUCUGCUCUCCUGCUUACCCAGAGCACACUGGAAUAGAAGCACGGUUGUCCACAGCGUCCUCAGAGCCUUGGCUGAAGCAGGCGUUUCUUCCCACCCCUCCUCCACUUACUGUGCACGUCGUCCUCGGCAUCUGACUCUUCCAGAGAGACCUGAGGUUGGGCUUUCACCUCCAGAUUUCUGCUGAGCCAGCUUGUUUGUUCCAAGGAGGAGCCAGCGAUGGUACCUACAGCUUCCAGGAUUCUCUGAGUGAUUUCCUGGAGAGCCAGCAGAAGCAAGACUUAAUUAAGGAGAAGAAAAGAGCCGGUGCAUACCACUGUCUGACAGGUACAGGGCACGGGCCACCGCGUGAGUCACCGUGGCACCAGUAGACUUUCAAUGAGCCACGCUGAGAGGCGAAAAGCAGCUGGGGUGACAGAUUUUAGUAACAGGUUCUCUACCUACAAAUAUUCCAAUAUAAACAUCAGCAUCACACUCUGCAGCUGUCUCCUACCCUGGCUGGCUUUGGACUCCUGUGGGUACUGCAUGCUUACAACGACCAGGAUCUUCUCUCAGCACGUGGUAUUGUGGCUCUGCUCUCUACCAGCCGACGGGUAAAGUCUGCAGGACUGAUGGGAAAGGCCGGCUUUCUGGUUCUCCUGGAUUGUGGUUCAUGCUGGUAUGAACUAAACACUACAGGACACCACUGUUACUAAGCUGCUGGACUUGAGACUUUACAAAGUUUCGUGGACUGCCAGGCCACACCAACAGUCGGCCGAGUCACUCGUGCUGACUCCGUGUACACUGGCAGGGUGGCGAAGCUCCUUCUGCCUUGAUCCUCACAUAGAAGCAAGACAACAUGGACUAUCCUGCUGCUGCCUGCCUGCCUGCCCUCCGCUCCCGAGAAGCAGAGCCUGGGGGGCAGAUUUAUCCUUUAGUCUUGUUCCCCUCAGCCUGUCUCUGUCUGCAGAACCGGUGGCCUCUGCUGAGCUCACCAGAACACUUACUACUUACUCUCUUUUAUGGGAUGAAGCAUGGCCUUAUUCUAGACUCACAGUAGAGCCAGUCAAGAUCUUUAUAAACAGUGCUGCGUGCUGUUGUGCAUGACUGAAACGCCAACACUUGGUAGGCAGGGAGAGGGAGCGUUCAGCCAGGGCUAUACAGAGAGACUGUAUCUUAAACAAAGAUAUCGUUAAAAUAAAUUGCUGUAGUUUUGCUA
rnacentral:lncRNA from 1 species